rnacentral:rRNA from 1 species
ACCGGAUAUCAGACUAAGUAAGACUACCCGCUGAAUUUAAGCAUAUAAUUAAGCGGAGGAAAAGAAACUAACCAGGAUUCCUCUAGUAAGGGCGACUGAAGCAGGAAGAGCUCACCGUGUGAAUCUACACAGCUUGUCUGUGUCGAAUUGUGGUCUGUAAAAGCAUAGUCUGUCGCAAUCUCGGAUUAAGUAGCCUGGAAAGGCUCAGCUUAGAGGGUGAAACUCCCGUACUUAUCUGAGAUUGUUGGCGUUAGCACUUGCUUUCAACGAGUCGAGUUGUUUGGGAUUGCAGCUCAAAGUGGGUGGUAAAUUCCAUCUAAAGCUAAAUAUUGGCAUGAGACCGAUAGCGAACAAGUACCGUGAGGGAAAGAUGCAAAGAACUUUGAAAAGAGAGUUAAAGAGUACCUGAAAUUGUUGAAAGGGAAGCGAAGGAAACCAGUGUCAGAUAUGCCUGUAUUUCCUCUAUCUGUCAAGAGAGAGGCGCUGUGGGUAUGUUUGGGCCAGCAUCUGUUUGAUUCGGAUCAAAUUGCUUGUGGGGAGGUAGGAUCUUCGGAUCUCAUGACCCAUUUGUGUUGUUCUGUUUUGGACAGAGGUAGUCUUACAGCUCGUGAUGCUGGCGAAAUGGUUUUCUUUACCCCGUCUUGAAACACGGACCAAGGAGUAA